AGAAAACUGACGUCCAGAGCUGGGGGAACUUGCCAAGACCACGCAGACGCCUCGAGCUGCAGUGCGCACCCAUCCCGAGCUAGUUCUGCCUGGAAAACCCUGCUGGUCCUUCAACCACCCACCUGCCGCGUCCCCGACACAGAUGUCGCUUCCUUUCAGAACUUGCCUCCCUAGCUGGAUGCCCUGAGCUCCCACGGUCUCCAGCGGCUGUUGUGCUGUGUUUCCCCCAUCAGACGGCAUUUCCUGGAGGGCAGCCAGCACAGGACAGAGGACCCGUCAAGCGUUGUGGAGGCCACGUGUCUGAGGGACAUCGCAAGACUCAUCACAGGGCCGCCCCGGGCUUCUGGUCAGGAGCAGACAAUGAAACCCAAACCCCAGUGUGUUCCAAGCACUGUUAGGCUUCCUGUAGGACCUGGACUCAGGAGGAACCACAGUCACCUGACACCCCCCUCCUCGGCCUGUACGCAGUGGGAUCCUUUGCUGAACUGGGCUCCUGGGGGUCCGUGACUGUGAACGUGACCAGAUCCUAAGGUGGUGUCCUCGAGGAAGGCUCGGACCUAGAACGGAGAAUGGCAGGUUGAGGCUCUGCCCAGCUCCAGGCAGCCUGAAGGGUCGCUCUGAAGCUCAAAGUGAUCACUUCACUUCUGUUUCAAGCCCUUCUCUGUCUCCCUCGUUCUCUGGGGUGAAGGCCUCGUGCCUCAGCCUGGUGCUCAGGGCCCUUCGCCAUCCUCGCCUGCCCUUCCAGCUUCCUUUCCUGCCACUUUCCACCUCAAACCCGCCAGCCGCAAUACGUCUCCCUGUUCCCAAGAGGCACCAAGGCCUUCACACCUCCAAGCCUUUGCACUCACGGCAACCUGAAUCUGCGAUACCUCAGAAAACUCCUACUCGUCCUUCAACACCCAGCUCAGAUGACGGCGUUCCCCUAAGAGAUGCCCUAGCCAGCGUCACUCACGCUGGAGUCAGGGUCCUGUGGUUGCCCACACUCUGCGAUUCCGAUGAGGAAAAGGAGGCUCAUAGACGCAAGAAUGACUGAGACAUGGGCUUCCCUGGUGGCACAGUGGUUAAGAAUCCACCUGCCAGGGCUUCCCUGGUGGCGCAGCGGUUGAGAGUCCGCCUGCCGAUGAAGGGGACACGGGUUUGUGCCCCGGUCCGGGAGGAUCCCACAUGCCGCGGAGCGGCUGGGCCCGUGAGCCGUGGCCGCUGAGCUUGCGCGUCCGGAGCCUGUGCUCCGCAACGGGAGAGGCCGCAGCAGUGAGAGGCCCACGUACCGCAAAAAAAAAAAAGAAUCCACCUGCCAACGCAGGGGACGCGGGCUUGAGCCCUGGUCCGGGAAGAUCCCACAUGCCGUGGAGCAGCUAAGCCCGUGCGCCACAACUACUGAGCCCACGUGCCACAACUACUGAAGCUCGCGUGCCUACAGCCCGUGCUUGGCAACAAGAAAAGCCACUGCAAUGAGAAGCCCGCGCACCGCAACAAAGAGUAGCCCCCACUCGCUGCAACUAGAGAAAGCCCGCACGCAGCAACGAAGACCCAACGCAGCCAGAAACAGUUCCCGGUCAGGAUGGCGGAUUGAGGUGCUAUGGGAGGCUCUCUUUCUAUCUACAGACACACAGAAGUGCAGGAGAGAAUAUAACCAUUUAAGAUGAUCCAGAGUCCAGGUCAAAAACAAAAAGGUAGGGGCAGCCACGUGACGCAGUUCUGGCCAAGUUGAUGGAGGUACAAGUUCUGGCGGGAGAAGGUGGGGGAGCCUCUCCCUGAAUACAAAGGCAAAGCUCACUAGAAGAAAAUCCUUCCCACCCCCAAUAUCACUGGUCCUUCUUAUGCCUGGACAGCAGACAUGAGGCCUGGAGGUGCAGCAGCCAUCUUGUAACCAUGAGUCAGCCACGAAAAAGGUAAAGUGGAAAGACAGAAAGAACACAGGCUGUGGGGGCAGACAGACCUUCGUUUUCCACUUUCUGGCUGUGUGGCCUUGGGUACGUCACUUAACUUCUCGGAGCCUCACUUCCCACAACCUGUAAGAUGGGGAUAAAACCUCUCCCUUGAACAGUCCUUGUGAGGAUUAAAUACUGCGUUGACUAUGGAUCCACUUUUUCUCCUGUAAAGAGCUAUCCCAAUGUUUGGAGUUAUUUUUACAAUCAUGCUGUGACAGUUACUUUAGAGCAAAAGAAAGAAGAGACCCUUUAUUUCUCCUCUUGGAGAAAGUUGCAAGGCGGGAUACGGGCCUCAAGCCAGCCAACGGGCCCUGCUCUUUGGCCGAUCAGUUAUGCAAACAGGAAGUGACUAUCCAAACAUUUGGAGCUGCACAAGGCUAGCCCAGAACCAGCCU